GUUUAGCAAGUCUAGCAGCGCUGAAUGGAAUUACUUUUUGCUGGACAAAUGGGAAAGGCGUUGUGGCUGACCAAAAACGAUACUAAAGACAACAUUGUCCUGAGAGUUUCUCCCACCACCAGUAACGAGUUGGAAAGAGGACUGCCUGCACAAGCAUUGAUCAGGCCCAGGAGUCAUAUUGUAGCGAGUAACUCUGGUCGACCUGAAACAGUCGUCCUCACCUGAAGUUCAACUGUCCGAGUCCGUUGGUGUGCCGGGGGCUCACUGCCUUCAUAUCGUAGGCCUGCAGUAGCUAAAGCUUUAUAAUAGCCGUAUCAAAUGUUUCUAAACUUUUUAUUAGGGUAAUAUCAAAAGUAAGUCAAGCCGUUGUUAAUACGGAAAAUACGAGCAGAAGAGCGAAAUGUAAACCAGGGGAAAAAAUGCACUACCCUCCCCUGUGCCUAAUAAAAAAAAUAACAGAAACACAACAUUCCCCAAAGCAAAAAUAUAAGUUUGACAACCCUCCCCUAUUUUGGACCACCCCUCCCACCCAGUAAAUGUAGGUACUUUGGGUGAGUUUCUCAAAAACGUAAAGAUAACUUUCAUCAAUAAUAUCAUCAUGUUAAUAGUUGUGGCCCAUUUGAUUGAAAACCAGUGGAAUUGUCAUUCAUCCGUUGGUAACCACAAAGGGACCCCUGUUACCCAUCAGGUCUGUUACCCAUCAGGUCUGUUUGCUACAGUGCUUUGUUAAUUGUGUGUUACCCGUGUUACCCAUCAGGUCUGUUACCCAUCAGGUCUGUUACCCAUCAGGUCUGUUUGUUACAGUGUUUUGUUAAUCGAGACUGGUCUUGAGAAAGGCCUCUGUGCUCAAACCUCCACGUUAAACAGUCUCAACUAUAUCCCCUUAUCUUGUUUUGUAACGUAACAAACUGUGGAAAAGGUGAA